rnacentral:rRNA from 1 species
CCGGCUGUAAACGAUGGAUGCUAGGUGUGGGGGGGUUACCUUCUGUGCCGCAGCUAACGCGAUAAGCAUCCCGCCUGGGGAGUACGAUCGCAAGAUUGAAACUCAAAGGAAUUGACGGGGGCCCGCACAAGCGGUGGAGCACGUGGUUUAAUUCGAUGCAAACCGAAGAACCUUACCUGGGUUUGACAUGCACGUGGUACGGAGAUGAAAGUUGAAGGACCCCGUAGAGAUACGGGGAGCGUGCACAGGUGC